CAUCACUGGUGUGCAGAAGCCAAUGAGUGUGGAUGGAUGCAAAUCGACUAACGACAAUGUGGGAGGGUUCCCGAUAUACACCUCUCUCCGACCUAGUUGAAUCAAGACAAGAAGUACCCCCUCCGAUAUUGUCCUUUCA
ensembl:ncRNA C09F12.6 ncRNA